rnacentral:rRNA from 1 species
CCUACGGGUGGCAGCAGUAGGGAAUAUUGCUCAAUGGGGGAAACCCUGAAGCAGCAACGCCGCGUGGAUGAUGAAGGUUUUCGGAUUGUAAACUCCUUUUGUUAGAGAAGAUUAUGACGGUAGCUAACGAAUAAGCACCGGCUAACUACGUGCCAGCAGCCGCGGUAAUACGGAGGGGGCAAGCGUUAAUCGGAAUUAUUGGGCGUAAGGGGUGCGUAGGCGGGGUAAUAAGUCUGAUGUGAAAUCCUGUAGCUGAACCUCAGAACUGCAUUGGAAACUGUUACUCUAGAGUGCAGGAGAGGUAGGUGGAAUUCCUGGUGUAGCGGUAAAAUGCGUAGAGAUCAGGAGGAACACUCGUGGCGAAGGCGACCUGCUGGACCGUUACUGACGCUGAGGCACGAAAGCGUGGGGAGCAAACAGGAUUAGAUACCCGUGUAGUC